UACAGAGGUCUCAAGCGUUGUUCGGAUUCAUUGGGCGUAAAGGGUGCGUAGGUGGCGCCGUAAGUCGGGUGUGAAAUUUCGGAGCUUAACUCCGAAACUGCAUUCGAUACUGCGGUGCUUGAGGACUGGAGAGGAGACUGGAAUUCAUGGUGUAGCAGUGAAACGCGUAGAGAUCAUGAGGAAGACCAGUGGCGAAGGCGGGUCUCUGGACAGUUCCUGACACUGAGGCACGAAGGCCAGGGGAGCAAACGGG
rnacentral:rRNA from 1 species